GAUGAACGCUGGCGGCGUGCCUAAUACAUGCAAGUCGAGCGAACAGACGAGGAGCUUGCUCCUCUGACGUUAGCGGCGGACGGGUGAGUAACACGUGGAUAACCUACCUAUAAGACUGGGAUAACUUCGGGAAACCGGAGCUAAUACCGGAUAAUAUAUUGAACCGCAUGGUUCUAUAGUGAAAGACGGUUUUGCUGUCACUUAUAGAUGGAUCCGCGCCGCAUUAGCUAGUUGGUAAGGUAACGGCUUACCAAGGCAACGAUGCGUAGCCGACCUGAGAGAGUGAUCGGCCACACUGGAACUGAGACACGGUCCAGACUCCUACGGGAGGCAGCAGUAGGGAAUCUUCCGCAAUGGGCGAAAGCCUGUCGGAGCAACGCCGCGUGAGUGAUGAAGGUCUUCGGAUCGUAAAACUCUGUUAUUAGGGAAGAACAAAUGUGUAAGUAACUAUGCACGUCUUGACGGUACCUAAUCAGAAAGCCACGGCUAACUACGUG
rnacentral:rRNA from 1 species